CCUACGGGAGGCAGCAGUAAGGAAUAUUGGUCAAUGGAGGGAACUCUGAACCAGCCAUGCCGCGUGCAGGAAGACUGCCCUAUGGGUUGUAAACUGCUUUUGUUAGGGAAUAAACCUUUCUACGUGUAGAGAGCUGAAUGUACCUAAAGAAUAAGGAUCGGCUAACUCCGUGCCAGCAGCCGCGGUAAU
rnacentral:rRNA from 1 species